rnacentral:rRNA from 1 species
UACGAAGGGGGCUAGCGUUGCUCGGAAUUACUGGGCGUAAAGCGCACGUAGGCGGUCUUUUAAGUCGGGGGUGAAAUCCUGGAGCUCAACUCCAGAACUGCCUUCGAUACUGAGGAUCUUGAGUUCGGGAGAGGUGAGUGGAACUGCGAGUGUAGAGGUGAAAUUCGUAGAUAUUCGCAAGAACACCAGUGGCGAAGGCGGCUUCCUGGACCGGUUCUGACACUGAGGAGCGAAAGCGUGGGGAGCGAUCCGG